GCUGAAGAGUCAGAAAUUUUGUGCCUCGAG
rnacentral:piRNA from 1 species